CCCUAUGGGGCGCAGCAGGUGGUGAAGCUGGAUUUGCAACGCACGAUAGAGAUUGCGAAUGAUAGUUCCUUGUCCGCUUUCAGAUAUCAGAAUCUUUAUUUGUCGGGAUAUUGGGAAUAUCGUACUUACAAGGCGAACCGUUUGCCGAGUCUUACGCUGGAUCUGACUCCGGCUAAAUAUUAUCGCUAUAUCACCCAGCGUUAUGAUUCGAAUGAGGAUAUGGAUGUGUAUCGUGAACAACAGAUGUUCAGCGCAUCGGGUGGAUUGAGUAUCAAACAGAAUCUGGACUGGACGGGCGGUACUUUCUAUAUUGAUUCGGAACUGGACUUUAUGCGUAAUUUCGGUGACUCAAAGUCUACACAGUAUUCCAGUAUCCCUGUGCGUGUGGGAUAUCAACAGAGC
rnacentral:rRNA from 1 species